AGCAGGUUACACAGGUUGAAUUGAAGGGUAAUAUAGCAUUAUUACAUAAAAUACAUGUACUGUAGAUAAAAAUUAGGGGUUUUAGUAAUCUAAUGAAUUAUAAUUUGUUUGAAGGCUAUACAGCCCAACUCCCCUUGAUUUAAUUGUUCUUAGUGUAGUGAAUAAAUAAAUUUGUGCCCUCCAUUCAUAUGUUUUUGUUUUGUUUUUAGUAUUGUGCCCCCAAUUAUAAAUGGUUCUAGAUCUGCCACUGC
rnacentral:lncRNA from 1 species